rnacentral:rRNA from 1 species
UACGUAGGGUGCGAGCGUUAAUCGGAAUUACUGGGCGUAAAGCGUGCGCAGGCGGUUCGCUAAGACCGAUGUGAAAUCCCCGGGCUUAACCUGGGAACUGCAUUGGUGACUGGCGGGCUAGAGUAUGGCAGAGGGGGGUAGAAUUCCACGUGUAGCAGUGAAAUGCGUAGAGAUGUGGAGGAAUACCGAUGGCGAAGGCAGCCCCCUGGGCCAAUACUGACGCUCAUGCGACGAAAGCCGUGGGGGAGCAAACAGG